GAUGAACGCUGGCGGCGUGCCUAAUACAUGCAAGUCGAGCGAACAGACGAGGAGCUUGCUCCUCUGACGUUAGCGGCGGACGGGUGAGUAACACGUGGACAACCUACCUAUAAGACUGGGAUAACUUCGGGAAACCGGAGCUAAUACCGGAUAAUAUAUUGAACCGCAUGGUUCAAUAGUGAAAGACGGUUUUGCUGUCACUUAUAGAUGGAUCCGCGCCGCAUUAGCUAGUUGGUAGGGUAACGGCUUACCAAGGCGACGAUGCGUAGCCGACCUGAGAGGGUGAUCGGCCACACUGGAACUGAGACACGGUCCAGACUCCUACGGGAGGCAGCAGUAGGGAAUCUUCCGCAAUGGGCGAAAGCCUGACGGAGCAACGCCGCGUGAGUGAUGAAGGUCUUCGGAUCGUAAAACUCUGUUAUUAGGGAAGAACAAAUGUGUAAGUAACUAUGCACGUCUUGACGGUACCUAAUCAGAAAGCCACGGCUAACUACGUG
rnacentral:rRNA from 1 species